rnacentral:lncRNA from 1 species
CUUAAAUAACGGGCUAAUUUUGUAGCAGACCUUUUGUUUGAUAUUAUUUAGCCUUGAUUUGGGGCAUGUUUUUGCUGAUGGCCUCUGAUGUAUUCUAGCCUCAGAAAGUUCUCGUUUAAACACAGAGGAAUGUCUCUCUGUCCGUCUGCAGGAGGAGUGUCGUCUGCAGCUGGAGGCUCAGCGCAUCAGUCUGUCUCAGAUCCACGCCGCUCACCUGGAGCUGCUCCGAGAGAGUCUGUGUGCGCAGACGCAGGAGGAGAGGAGGAGAGAGAACGGUCAUCCCGCAGGUCACAUCAAACGCUCUUUCAGAUCCAUUAUUAAGAGAUCCAUCAGCAUGAAAGAGAGAGGCACUGUCAAACGGCUCACUUACUCUGUGCUCAUACCCAGAGAUUAUUUAUGUCAUGGCUGCUAACCGAUGUGAUAGUUAGGAUUGAAUGCAGUCCCAAAAUGAUUGAUUGAAUUGAAAAAACGAAUGAUUGAAUUCCCGAACGUUUUUGUCAGCCGAACACCUUUGAACUAAAAAAAUAAGCGUUAAGUAAUUUAACAGCACGUUCACAUGUUGCAGUGUGAAGCCUGUAAACAGUGGCAGGAUUUCCUCACGUGUUUCUCCUGUUCCUGCAGAGCUCAUGGCAGAGUCUGAGGAGUGCUCUGCGCGUCUGGAGAUCGAGCGGCUGAAGAGCGACUAUCAGCAGCAGAUGGAGGAGACGCAGGAACGCUUCAAGGCCGAGGUCCUCCUGCUGCAGAGGAGACUCCAGGAGCUCACAGGAGCCGGCGAGAUCUUCAGCAUGCCGAGCGUCUAUCCGCCGCUGACGAGAGACGAGCGCCGUGAACAUCUUCAGGUGAUCGUGCAGAUGUCGGUUGAGUUCGCCCAGCAGACCGAAGAGGCCCGGAUCAGCAAACAGGCCCGCGAGACAAGCACCGGCACACAGACGGACGACAGCGAGGAUGAGGAGGAACGACUGAACUCUGUGAGCCUGAUGAAGUCUCCUGAAGAAGAGCAGACCUUCAUCACUGAACACACAACACAAGAGGAGGAGGAUGAGGAGGAUGAAGAGCACUUGCGCUCUGAGCUGGUCCCGCAGGAGGAGGCUCUCAGAUCGUCACACACACUUCAGCUGGAGGCGUAUCAGGGGCAGAACACACUCCUGACGGCUCAGAUACACACACUCACCCAGCAGCUCCUGCAGACGGAGCUGGAGCUGCAGCAGAUGAAGGAGAGACGAGACGAGACAGAGAGACGGAGAGAUGAACACCUGCUUCCCAGCAUGCAAAGCUGCAGCACACAGACAGAGCAGGUAGUGUAAACAGUACAGUUUCACUCCUCCCUUC